rnacentral:tRNA from 1 species
GCCAGUGUUGCUCAGUGGUAGAGCGUUGGCCCGUGUACCAAAGGGUUGUGGGUUCGAUUCCUGGUCAAGGGCA